rnacentral:rRNA from 1 species
GACGAACGCUGGCGGCGUGGAUUAGGCAUGCAAGUCGAACGGUAUCAUCCUUUCGGGGGUGAGAGAGUGGCGAACUGGUGAGUAACACGUAGGUUAUCUACCCUCAAGACGGGGACAACCCAGGGAAACUUGGGCUAAUACCGGAUGUGAGCAACUUUUAGUUGUUUGAAAGGUGGCGUAAGCUGUCGCUUGGGGAUGAGCCUGCGUCCUAUUAGUUAGUUGGUGAGGUAACGGCUCACCUAGGCAAUGAUAGGUAGGCGGCCUUAACGGGUGGUCGCCCACACUGGGAUUGAGAUACGGCCCAGACUCCUACGGGAGGCAGCAGUCGAGAAUAGUCUACAAUGGUCGGAAGACUGAUAGUGCGACGCCGCGUGAACGAUGAAUCCCUUCGGGUGUAAAGUUCUUUUAUAUGUGAGCAGUGCUUCUUAUAUUAACAGUAUGGGGAGAGAGAUAUUAGCAUAUGAAUAAGCAACGGCUAACUCCGUGCCAGCAGCCGCGGUAAACUCGU